UUAGGAAUCUUGCGCAAUGGGCGAAAGCCUGACGCAGCGAUGCCGCGUGCGGGAUGAAGGCCCUCGGGUCGUAAACCGCUUUCAGCAGGGACGAUAGUGACGGUACCUGCAGAAGAAGCCCCGGCCAACUACGUGCUAGCAGCCGCGGUAAUACGUAGGGGGCGAGCGUUGUCCGGAUUUAUUGGGCGUAAAGAGCUCGUAGGCGGUUUGGUAAGUCGGGUGUGAAAUCUCCACGCUCAACGUGGAGGGGCCACUCGAUACUGCCAUGACUCGAGUCCGGUAGAGGAGUGUGGAAUUCCCGGUGUAGCGGUGAAAUGCGCAGAUAUCGGGAGGAACACCCGUAGCGAAGGCGGCACUCUGGGCCGGAACUGACGCUGAGGAGCGAAAAGCGUGGGGAGCAAAACAGGAUUAGAUACC
rnacentral:rRNA from 1 species